AAUUUAUUCCAUUUAAUUAUUUCAUUUGAAGUUAAAAAUGAAUAACAUUGUAAGGUAUGGCUAGAAUAUAUGGUGUUGCAUGUGUUGCAGGCAUGUGCAUACUCUGAUAAGGAUGCCCACAUUCGAUCUUAUUAGCAUCUCACAUUUGAAGUAACUUAUCAUGGUGCCCUCUAUGAUGAGUCAUGGGACUGACUCAUCAAACAUCAUUUGGGUUGUUUUGAGACAGGGGUAUGGAUGUUUACAUUCUGAGCACAGUACUAGGUACAGGGGAGGCCUUGACAGGCUUAGCUUUUCUAAAUGUAAUGAAAAUGAAACAGCUAUUGCAUGUCCAUCUUGUAAAUUAAAGAAACUGGAUCACAAUUCAGUGAAAUUCCCCAUUCAUGAAUAAGCCUCAGGAUUCUUGGUGUCUAUUUAUGUCCUGUGGUGCUCGUUCAAAUUACUGGUCAAGGCCCUUCAAUAACAUCUGAUGUGGUUUUAGAAAACUAGGACACAAAUUUAAAUAUGGUUCAUGGAUUUAUUAAUACCAUUCAUACAUUCAGUAACUAUUAAACUCGGGGCCUUCUGCAUGCUUAGUUGUAUGUUCUACCAUUAAGCUACAUUCUCUCCUCCACUAAACGUUUCGAUAUAUGUACUAUGUCAAGCACAGAGAACACGAUAUAAAGCAGGAUCUCAUCACUUUAAGAACUAUCACUGAUGUUGGAUGUGGGGGACAACAGUAAGGGGGCAGAUGCACACUAUCAUCUGGUGACAAUGUCUGAGAAUGAAAAAUUAAUCAUUCAAAGAGGGGUCUAGGGACCUAUGGUGCUACUAUUUAUAUAAGGUUAUAAGACGAUCUCUCUCUCUCUCUCUCUCUCUCUCUCUCUCUCUCUCUCUCCCUCCCCCCUCCUCUGCAGUGCAAUAUUUAAACAAGAUCAUAUGGAAACAAAUUAAAAUAGAAUUCCAGACAGGAAUAAAAGCAAGAAUAAAAGCCUCGAGAAGACAGGAUGCCACAUUGAGCUAGUAUGGCUCCAGUCUAGGCAGGAAGGUGCAUGGUAAGAUAGCAUCCAGGUCAUCAGGGUCCCAAGCCUUUGUAAAUAAAUGGUACCUUAACCAGUAUAAGACAGUACAUUCCAGGAAGGACAGGACUUCUCUGUAGUUUUGAAAGAAUUACCCUGUCUGGCUUGAGCCAGAAUAGGCGUGAAAACUAAGAUCUGCAUCACCAGUCCUCUAUAGAGUGUCCCUCUAAGUCUUUGUUUCUCUACUGUGCAAUGAAAUGAGCAUUGCUGAUAUGGGGCAUUCAAGGAAGGAGGAAAAUGAGAGCCCAUUAGUUCAUACUAAGCAGUGUGGACACUUUGCUGUCUGUUUGGGGAAAGAGGUUGGAAGAAGGUAUAAAGAAAAGUAAUGUGAAUCGAGACACCAGCACACCAGUACGAACAAGCUACUUCUGACUUAAUGACAUAGCUGAAAAUAAUUGUGCUACUCACUUGUCAAGUCAUUUGUGCCUUUGCCUUGUCCACAACACCUACAUCAUGGCAUUUUUGCCCCACUCCAAAUAGUGUCUACUGUCUGACAUAUUGUGUUGUCUAUUAUCUCACUUGUUACUCCAGUGGACUAGCCUGAGCUACUUUUACUUGGUCUUUCUAUCCUUGCCACAGGACCUUUGCUUGUGUAGCCAUAUUCAGCCAGAAAACCUUCUCCUUCCUUAUGCUAGUCCCGCCCUUCUCUAGUGUGUAAGAGCUGACACAAGUCUCGAGAGACAGUUCCCUCCCUAUCUCUUCUGGCCUAGCCAGGCCCUUCCUCUAUCUACCAAGGCCUGCACUUGCCUGAUCCAUGCCUGUCAGUGCUAACUUGGUCUUGAUCUAGCUUUGUCAGCUGUCUCCCUUCACUCCCUAGACAGCCCAGCCUUAGGCCUCUCAUGACACGUUUGGACAGCACCGGCCAAACAGUAGUCUUUCAUUAGAUCCUGUCAGUUUGUGAUUCGAAGUCGCGUCUUGGUCAUCUGUUAGUGUGGCUUUUUCCAGAUAACUAAAGUUGAGUCUGUCAAAUGCCAAAUGAAUAUAGUAAGCUCUUUUUAAUAAGCAUCUUUUUGAACUGUAUUUGACAUUUCCAGAAAUUCUCAAUUCCCAUCUGCCAUCCCAAACUACGUAAUUUCAAAAUCAGGCAGAGAUGUCAUACUAUAAGCCCGUUAGCAUCUUCAGCAAGCAUUACUGUUCCAUAGCAGGUUUCAGUGCUCUCUCUCUCUCUCUCUCUCUCCUCACUUUCUUGUGAUGUCACCUAUGCUAAUUUUCAAAACUCCUGCAUUUGACUCUCCCAAAUGCUAUUUUACCAACCAUUGUCUUUCAGGAACUGUAAUUCUUUUCCAGGAAGCCAGAUCACUAGGAGUCUCCAGAAAAUACUUCAUGUAUACCGUGUAAAAGGUAGGCUCCAUCUUAGGCAAUGGAUUCAGUAAAGCAUGGCAGAGCCCUGAAUAAGCCUCACAUUUUCACAGGCAUGCCUGCCUCCCACAUGGAGUGGCUGCAACAAAGGCAGGCAUAUGCUACAGUAACAAUAAACAAGGUGGAGCAUUACUAUAUGAGGAGUAAGGCUGUGCAGGAAACUUCAGGUAAGGCUGAAGAAUGUACAAGUAUUCACUAGGAAUAGAGGCAGCCUAAGAAGGGGCUAACUGAUGUAAACCAGGAAUCUGGACUCACUGUUUAGAUAAAACUCAUGAGAGAUAGCACAUAGGAUCUUUAAGUCUGGGCGUUGCUGCCAGCUACUGUGGAUGCUCGGGAGGGCUCUUCCAGUGAGUUCAAGAUCAAAAGGUCCUGAGUGAGUCAGAUCGAUGGGAAAUGGGCCUGUGGAUAAAUAGGUUCUGACUGUGGCCUGACGUAGUCUCUAUUUGAAAGGAUUUGAGAAACAGCUUUCCUAAGGGAUGCAAAUACAAUGUGCUCCCAAAAGCAAGGGUACUAGCCAACAGAGAGGGGAACUGCAGGAGAGAAUGUUUUAUGAUGUUCUGAGAUUCCAGAAGUGGAAGGUCUCUUGGGCCUGCUCAAGACUGGGUGGUAGAUUAAAGAUAUGCAUCAGGUUCAGGCUUUGUCUAAAGCAAUAUCCAGUGCCACAAUGGAGACCACCAUUCUAACUGUCCUAUAUCCUCACUUUUUGUGCUCAUUCUGCUACUAAAAUGUGCCCUAUAAAUCACUAUACCUAUGCUUAUUACUUAGCAAAAGAAAUAUCUGCUGAGUGUGUGGGGCAGUUAGCCAGUUUGAGAAGACCCGAUCCCAGUGGCUUUUUGCAAGUUGCUAUCAACAGAGAAAGAAGGAAACAUGCUUAGCCACAGCACUAGGACAGCAUGGUGUCUCCUGGAGAUCUGAGCAUCAGAAACUAUCUGCACUGAUGCUCUGUCCUUCCUCAUCACCUUUUGAGUUGCUUCUGCUUCUACAUCCACUUUCUUAAAUGCUUCCAGCAAUGUCAAAUGUCAUUACCUCCUUCUCAGGGUGAUCUCUCCCAGCUUACAUUCCCUCCCCAUUGCAGGGGGAGGUGUGAAAGGCUACUUACUCUCCACCAUGUUUCCCCACCUGGAAAGGUCUUGUGAAUUUUUCCUCUCCGAAGCCACAAAGCCAUCUGUAGUUCUCUUCUCUUCUGUGUGGCUUCAAUGAAGCACCACGCCUGCACCAGGCUUCUAGAAACUGAUUUCUCAGUGAAUAACACAGGAGACCAGAUGCUAGGCAACCAUUUGGGUUCUGUUGGGUACUGCAAAAGCAGACCAGAGAUUCAAAAAACCCAAACCAUUAUGUCUGUAGACUCUGAACUGCACUCCCAGAGGGGCAUUCUACCCUCUGAAAACUCUCCUCAUCCUUCAAUAAAUAGCACAAGUGUUAUUAAACUGUGCUUUUGGAAAUAUUUGUACCUCCUAGUUAGUGAGGCUAAAGUAGUAUACAAACUCACUGAAGUCCCGUAACUCUAUGAACCUUCCAUUUAUUGGGGAGUCAAGGGACGUCUGUGAGUUUGUAUAGUACAAUACUUAUGUAUGUUCAUGCGUACAUUUGUAACAUGCAUACACAUUGUUACCUUGAUUAGAAUGUGAGAGCUUUGGUAAACUCCCUGAAGAUCAAGAAAUACAGAAGUAAAAUCAAAACAAGGAGAAAGAAGGGGACAGUGACUUGUAGUUUAUGCGAAGCAGCGGAGAAAAGUAUGCAAGAGGAGAUCACACCUGGAGAGACAGAGUCCUAGUCAUAGUGAGGGAAUGGUCCUUGCAGGGAGCGGGGAGAAGAGCAGCCAUAGCAAGAUACAAAGAGCCGUGGGUGGGGGGAGGGGUUCCUGGAGUCUUUCAAGAACAAUGAGGAUGCCUGAGUCGUUGGAGCAGAAUGGAUGGGUGGAUGGAUGGACGCAUGGAUAGAUAAAUGAAUAGAUGGAUGGAUGAGGAGAAACAAGCAGGAGAGUGUGGGGUGGUGAAGUGGACCAUAUCAGGAAGAAGCACAAGCUAUAAUGGGAGAGGAGAAAGAUCUCUGUGUAUCAAGGAGCAAAGCUUCCAUAUACUGCAUAGUGCCGUAUAGCAUGGUUUAAUAUUUUCUAGAUAUUAAUAUAUUCUACUACUGACUGGACAAUGACUGUGGACAUCUAAGUUGUAGAGAUGAUAAAGUGAAGGCCAGAUGGCCAUGGCUUUGCAGCUCUCCUGGCUCAGUCCCAUGUAGACAUGGCCAGUGUUGCUUAGACACAUCCCAAGGACAGAGAGAAUGUGCACUCAGAUGCACCCACAUCAUCCUUUAGUGAACAUCUGUGACAGGGGCUUAGCCAUCUUCCUAGAGUCUUCAGGUUUUUUGACAGGCUGCAGAAGCAGCUGCUGUCCCAGGCAUUCUAAAAACACCCAGCUUGUUGCUUCUGUGGAUGUUGUUCACCUUCAGACUGGGUGUAUCUCAUCUGUGCCAUGAGGCUGACUUGGCCUGUGCUCACCUGCACUGAGUUCUUUGUCUCCAGUCUCAUGAGGCAAAACUGCAGAGAUGAUGUGAGCCAGCAAUAAACAGCCCCCUUGGUGGGAUGCUGCCAUGCAUCUUGCUUUAUGAUGGAUGAAAUCUCAUCUUUCUCCAAGUUCUGAAGACAUUCUUCUCCUAAUGAUCAGCUGUCACUCUGUCUUUGUGAGGCUUGUGUCUGCCUCAGCGGUCUGCCAUGUUAGUUUCUUUUCUAUAACCUGUGACUAUGUGACUACCUGCAAGAAGUGCCUUCCAGAAGAAAUGGCUCCAGAUGGCUUUUCUACUCCAAAGGGGAAUUUACAUCUGUUUUUACAGUACUGAGAAAGUGUAAAGAGAGAGAUUCACAAUCAGCAGAAGGAUGACUGAAACAACGACCCAAUGCAUUUCCACAAUUUAACAGAGACUCGUUCUCUAAGCAGCACUCAUGCGAAGCCAAAGGGAUUGUUUGCUAUGAAGGCUUAGUGCCCCCUCCAAGAAGAUGUAUUCAGUUGAAUUGAAUUCAAUUGACAACUCAAAGAAAUCAUUCAUAUUCAAUUCAAAGUGCGGUUUUCAGUCGUCAAAAGUUGGAAGCCUGUCUUUUAUUCAGAGUUUCCACAUCGUGUAGGGGGAAGGGGUGUUUGUCUUUUGUUAUUUCUUCUUCCUCCCUGUGCAAUUAGACAGAAGCAAUAGAGUCUCACCAAGACAGUCUCUCUGACUUUUUAGAUUAUAAGAAUAAUGUUAAAACAGAUAGCUAUUUGGGACAGAGGAGGGAAUGAAGGAAAAUCAACUCUUCGCCUUUGCAGUGGGGCUGCACACAUACAGAGCAAGCACCAUCCUUCGCCUUUGCAGUGGGGCUGCACACAUACAGAGCAAGCACCAUCUACACUAGAACCAGUUACCAUCCAGCUUAAUCCCCUCAACCUCAGUCUCCUUCACUUCUGCUCCAAACCCUCAGCUCAUCCCAUUGAUGUUUCUAGUGUUCUCUGGAUACGUCUGGAUUUUCAGGCCAACUUAGCGAACAGGGAGUGUUUCCACUAUUUUCAACUUGAAGGUAUUUCUCUCUGGCCUGGUGGAUAACUUGGUAACUUUGCUUCUUAAGGGUUAGGUGAGCCAGGGACACCCAAGACAUGUCUGUAAAAGGCUCACUCGCAGAACAAGGAGCCUCAUAAUACUGCUUUUGCAAAGUGCAAUAAAUGCCCAAGUCUUGUGAGCAAUAGUGGGCCCUUGCACAGGACAAUUAAACAUUAACAGGCCCUGGGGCCUUGGGAGCAGGGCCCAGCAACCCUUUGAAGCCCUGUUUGCCAAUUAAACACCGUCUGACAUUUGUGUCAAGGUGGCAGGGAUCCAAAGCAGAGAUAGGAACGUCAACCACUUCAGGGGCUUUCAUUAGCUCCCCAGACAUUCCUGGCCUGGCCUGUUUCUUUACUAUUGCCAAAUCCACACCCUGCUCGGGAACUCGGGGCUCUGAGAAAGUUUACUGAGAUAAGCUUAUAAUGGAAAUAGCACUUUGUCACCCUUUACCACUCGCUCCUUGUUCAAUUAUCUUUUAUCUGUUUAGAGUAUUUGCCAGCUCUCCCAACGCCCCCUAGGAUGAAACUAUUGGACC